AUGGCCAUUGGGCAUGUGGCGUCUUUGAGUGGCGAGGUUGAUGAGACAGGUGUGUUGGCGCCUAACUCCGAGGCUCUAUCAUGUGAGCAACUGGUGACGCCUGAGUCCAUCGUGUCAGUGGUACCUAUGACUGAUGAUGUUGAGGUGGUUGGUAUGUUGGCGCCUGAUCCUUCGGAGCGCAACCAGCCGCUCGUCUCUAUGGAGCAUGGAGGUUCCGAUGUUGUAGUCACCCACUCGCACGUGACCGUUGGGCAGGUUUCUGUGCGUGACAAGGUCAAUGACAUUCUCUUCGAUUUAGAGCGUCACAGCUUGCUCAAACGUUUGGAGAGGGUGAGCCCUGGAUCUGGCAAGGCGAUUGUGGAGGAGGCUCUCAGGAGCAAAGGAAAGAAGAGUGAGGCCACAGGAAAGGCGUCCGCAGCUGCUUGA
rnacentral:rRNA from 1 species